rnacentral:rRNA from 1 species
UACGAAGGGGGCUAGCGUUGUUCGGAUUUACUGGGCGUAAAGCGCACGUAGGCGGCUUGUUAAGUCAGGGGUGAAAUCCUGGAGCUCAACUCCAGAACUGCCCUUGAUACUGGCAAGCUCGAGUGUGACAGAGGUUGGUGGAACUGCGAGUGUAGAGGUGAAAUUCGUAGAUAUUCGCAAGAACACCAGUGGCGAAGGCGGCCAACUGGGUCACUACUGACGCUGAGGUGCGAAAGCGUGGGGAGCAAACAGG